rnacentral:ncRNA from 1 species
GGACAAAGGCAAGCGCCGGGACCAGCCGGCCCGCCGUUUAUGCCCGGGUGAGCCAGGAGGGCCAUCCAGGCAGGCGGGUGCCGGAGGGUUGACGAGGCGGGGGUUGAUCGAGGCAUCGGCGGGUGCCCCCCGGUCUGGUUACGACCGUCAAAGGCGCUACAAAACCCGGGAGUAAUCCCGGGGACAAAGGGCGCCGGGUAACCCUUU